GCCCGGGUGGUCUAGUGGUAUGAUUCUCGCUUAGUAUGCGAGAGGUCCCGCGUUCGAUCCGCGGCUCGGGCC